UACGAAGGGGGCUAGCGUUGCUCGGAAUCACUGGGCGUAAAGCGCACGUAGGCGGCUUUCUAAGUCAGGGGUGAAAUCCUGGAGCUCAACUCCAGAACUGCCUUUGAUACUGGAGAGCUUGAGUCCGGGAGAGGUGAGUGGAACUGCGAGUGUAGAGGUGAAAUUCGUAGAUAUUCGCAAGAACACCAGUGGCGAAGGCGGCUCACUGGCCCGGUACUGACGCUGAGACGCGAAAGCGUGGGGAGCAAACAGG
rnacentral:rRNA from 1 species